GUGAAUCAUCGAAUCUUUGAACGCAUAUUGCGCUCUUUGGUAUUCCGAAGAGCAUGCUUGUUUGAGUAUCAGUAAACACCUCAAAUCCUUCAAUUUGUUUUGAAGGCUUUGGACUUGAGCAAUCCCAACUCUCGCAAGAGAGGAGGGUUGCUUGAAAUGCAGGUGCAGCUAGACAUUCUUCUGAGCUAAAAGCAUAUUUAUUUAGUCCCGUCAAACGGAUUAUUACUUUUGCUCUAGCUAAUAUAAAGGUUUGAUUGCGCUACAUGCUGACUGAUGCAGGAUUCACAAGAACCGCAAGGUUUUUGUAAACUCGAUCUCAAAUCAAGUUAAGACUACCCGCUGAACUUAAGCAUAUCAAUAAGCUGGAGG
rnacentral:rRNA from 1 species